rnacentral:rRNA from 1 species
UACGUAGGGACCAAGCGUUGUUCGGAUUUACUGGGCGUAAAGGGCGCGUAGGCGGCGCGGUAAGUCACUUGUGAAAUCUCUGAGCUUAACUCAGAACGGCCAAGUGAUACUGCAGUGCUAGAGUGUGGAAGGGGCAAUCGGAAUUCUUGGUGUAGCGGUGAAAUGCGCAGAUAUCGGGAGGAACACCGGUGGCGAAGGCGGUUCUCUGGGCCUUACCUGACGCUGAGGAGCGAAAGCGUGGGGAGCAAACAGG